UAACCUUACUGAAUUUUUUUUUUUAUAUUGUUUUAUCGUGUCUGUGGUUUUGCAGGACUCGGUCAUGUUGCGACUGCUCUCUGUUACUGGUACAAUGUCGAGGCUCCAGGAGAGAGGUGUGUGCUGAUGUGGGGGGAUGAGAGAGGAGCUGUGAACUUGCUGUGGUUCCUGCAGCCUCACAAAGGCCUGUUUGAGACUCGUUCCAACCAGUGUGAACCCCACCAAGUGUUUCUACCAGACAUCUGCGGCCAGAACUCUCUGGUCUCUUACCAACAAAGCCCAAAACUCCACAGUGAACCAAUCAACAGAAUCAGAUAUGAGCCUGAAGCUGAACUCAUCAUUACGUCAUCAGAGAGUGAGAGCAGCUCAUUGGUCAUUGUGGACAUGAAGCACAGGAGGGAAAGUUACAUUUGGAAAAUUGAGAAGGUGAGAGAGGGAUUCGUUUCUCAGUAAUUUUCUCUUUUAUGGGGGGGGGGUCUUCUGUGAUUUUAUUCCCGUC
rnacentral:lncRNA from 1 species